rnacentral:ribozyme from 13 species
CAAAGAAGGUUCUGAAGAAGAAGCAAGAGAAGGUUCAAAAAAAGGAUGUAAUUGGUCUUUCAAUUGAUUGUCACUUUCCUUUCUUUUUUUU